CAGUCGCCGCGGGAAUACGAAGGGUGCAAGCGUUACUCGGAAUUACUGGGCGUAAAGCGUGCGUAGGUGGUGGUUUAAGUCCGUUGUGAAAGCCCUGGGCUCAACCUGGGAAUUGCAGUGGAUACUGGAUCACUAGAGUGUGGUAGAGGAUAGUGGAAUUUCCGGUGUAGCAGUGAAAUGCGUAGAGAUCGGAAGGAACAUCUGUGGCGAAGGCGACUAUCUGGGCCAACACUGACACUGAGGCACGAAAGCGUGGGGAGCAAACAGGAUUAGAUACCCCCGUAGUCCCUGUCUCUUAUAC
rnacentral:rRNA from 1 species